AGAAAAAAUAUACACAUUCCCAAAAAUUUAUACUGUAAGCAUGGCUAUCAAGAGUGUUUCAGUUCUUGUUUGCACAUUCCUUAUACUUUUCAUAGGUUACAAUAACAUAGCUGAUGCAUCAGUGUGUUGCCAGGACCACAAGGUUAGUCCAUGUGUACAUGGUAGAGAUGAUAAUCCAGAGUUUGAUGGCAAAUGUUGGUUAUUAUGCAUUAAUGAUUGUGAGAAUGGAGGACAAUGUAUAAAUAACAAUACAUGUCACUGCAAAUGUUAGCUUCAUUUCUACAUAAAAUUAAAUAUGAAAGAUGGAUUUGAAUUUAUUCAUUAAAGGGCAUUUUAGUCCUUUUGUAUUG